UACUGAGGGGGCUAGCGUUGUUCGGAAUUACUGGGCGUAAAGGGCGCGUAGGCGGUCUUCUAAGUCUUGUGUGAAAUCCCUCGGCUUAACUGAGGAACUGCACGGGAUACUGGAUGACUUGAGUUCGGGAGAGGGAAGCGGAAUUCCGGGUGUAGCGGUGAAAUGCGUAGAUAUCCGGAGGAACACCGGUGGCGAAGGCGGCUUCCUGGACCGACACUGACGCUGAGGCGCGAAAGCUAGGGGAGCAAACGGG
rnacentral:rRNA from 1 species